rnacentral:rRNA from 1 species
UACGUAGGUGGCAAGCGUUGUCCGGAUUUACUGGGCGUAAAGAGCGCGCAGGCGGUCGUUCAAGUCGCGUGUGAAAGCCCCCCGGCUCAACUGGGGAGGGUCACGCGAUACUGUUCGACUCGAAGGCAGGAGAGGGUAGUGGAAUUCCCGGUGUAGUGGUGAAAUGCGUAGAUAUCGGGAGGAACACCAGUGGCGAAGGCGACUACCUGGCCUGUUCUUGACGCUGAGGCGCGAAAGCUAGGGGAGCAAACGGGG